CCACGGGGUAGACUUGGCGGGAUUGUCCCUGGGGCAGCCUGGAUCCUGAGGCUGCCCCGCCUCCUUCCUCAGCCCCUCCCUGGUCAGGCGCUCCUGGUGGGUGCGGGGGGUAGUCCAGGCUUGUCUUGCAACUGUAUGUUCUCUUCAGACCCCUCCCUGGCGACGCCAGAUUCACUGGGCUGGCAGAUUCUGCCCCCAAACCUGUCCAACCAGUUGUUUGAGAGGAGGGGGUACCUGGGAGGGGCAGCAGGAGAUGCCAGGAACAGCUUCCCCUAGCGCAGCACAGACUACAGACAGAGGAGCCUCUGGGGCUGCAGACACUGCAGACGGACGGACAGAUGGACAACAGCUGGAGGCUUGGCCCGGCCAUAGGGCUCUCUGCGGGACAGUCCCAGCUGCUAGUGUCACUGUUGCUGCUACUGACCCGUGUCCAGCCUGGGACAGAUGUGGCCACCCAGAGCUUCACGGCCCCACGGACAAACCAGGACAUCCCUGCUCCUGCCAACUUCUCCCAGAGGGGCUACUAUCUCACACUGAGGGCCAACCGGGCGCUGUACCAAGCCAGAGGCCAGCUCCAUGUCCUCCGCGUCGGCAAUGAUACCCACUGCCAACCAACAAAAAUUGGCUGCAACCAUCCCCUACCAGGACCUGGCCCCUACAGGUGAGCAGCUCUGCCGGGCCCUGGCUCCUGCCCGCAUGCACCCAAGCCGGAGCCUGGGGCAGCUCCUACAAGGCUCACCAGGGCCCCAGCAGGAUGCCUGGGUCCCCUGCUCCUGCUUGGCCAAAGGGAAGAGGAAGCAGCAGGCAGGGGCUGGGGAGGCCUUCAUGAAUUACAUGAAUUAUCCUUCUU
rnacentral:lncRNA from 1 species